UUCCAAGUACAAAGUCACGCAGUAUUGGGCCUGCUGUUUCUACACCACCACGAGGUUAUACUUCCAGAGAACCUGUUGCAACACAGCGUACAGAGACCACUGUCACUUGGGAUUCACCAGGUUAUACUUCCAGAGAACCUGUUGCAACACAGCGUACAGAGACCACUGUCACUUG
rnacentral:lncRNA from 1 species